rnacentral:lncRNA from 1 species
AAUUGGUCGAGUUUCCGCAGAGUGCCCGGAGCCCUAGGCCGGUGGGUGAGUGCACCGCGUUCUCGCACGCGUCAUGUUUGUUCCGAUACAAGCACCCGUCUGAGGAGGAGCUUCGGGCCCUGGCGGGGAAGCCGAGGCCCAGAGGCAGGAAAGAGCGGUGGGCCAAUGGCCUUAGUGAGGAGAAGCCACUGUCUGUGCCCCGAGAUGCCCCGUUCCAGCUGGAGACCUGCCCCCUCACGACCGUGGAUGCCCUGGUCCUGCGCUUCUUCCUGGAGUACCAGUGGUUUGUGGACUUUGCUGUGUACUCGGGCGGCGUGUACCUCUUCACAGAGGCCUACUACUACAUGCUGGGACCAGCCAAGGAGACUAACAUUGCUGUGUUCUGGUGCCUGCUCACGGUGACCUUCUCCAUCAAGAUGUUCCUGACAGUGACACGGCUGUACUUCAGCGCCGAGGAGGGGGGUGAGCGCUCUGUCUGCCUCACCUUUGCCUUCCUCUUCCUGCUGCUGGCCAUGCUGGUGCAAGUGG